ACUACGGGAGGCAGCAGUGGGGAAUAUUGCACAAUGGGGGAAACCCUGAUGCAGCGACGCCGCGUGAGUGAAGAAGUAUCUCGGUACGUAAAGCUCUAUCAGCAGGGAAGAAAAUGACGGUACCUGACUAAGAAGCCCCGGCUAACUACGUGCCAGCAGCAGCGGUAAUACGUAGGGGGCAAGCGUUAUCCGGAUUUACUGGGUGUAAAGGGAGCGUAGACGGCAGCACAAGUCUGGAGUGAAAUCCCGGGUGUUAACCCCGGAACUGCUUUGGAAACUGGGCGGCUGGAGGGCCGGAGGGGUAAGCGGAAGUCCUAGUGGAGCGGUGAAAUGCGUAGAUAUUAGGAGGAACACCGGUGGCGAAGGCGGCUUACUGGACUGUAACUGACGUUGAGGCUCGAAAGCGUGGGGAGCAAACAGGAUUAGAUACCCCUGUAGUC
rnacentral:rRNA from 1 species